rnacentral:tRNA from 1 species
CGCUGUGUUGCUUAGUUGGUUAAAACUCCUGUCUUGUAAAAAGGAGAUCCUGAGUUCAACUCUCAGCAGUGCCU